rnacentral:rRNA from 1 species
AUGUCUUGCAUCAUGCUGCUUGAUUGCACCAUGAUUGAUUGGUGGAAAGCUUGGCCUGUUGCUCGGUGUUUUGUUCCACUCUUGCUGCCCUUGUUUCUGUCAUACCGGUGUUAUGUUCCUUGA